rnacentral:tRNA from 1 species
CAGAAAAUAGUUUAAUUAAAAUAUUAAUUUUGGAGAUUAAAGAUAUAUUGUAUAUUAUUUUUCUGA